rnacentral:rRNA from 1 species
CCUACGGGUGGCAGCAGUGGGGAAUAUUGGGCAAUGGACGAGCGUCUGAACCAGCCAAGUAGCGUGAAGGAUGACUGCCCUAUGGGUUGUAAACUUCUUUUAUAUGGGAAUAAAAUGUUCCACGUGUGGGAUUUUGUAUGUACCAUAUGAAUAAGGAUCGGCUAACUCCGUGCCAGCAGCCGCGGUAAUACGGAGGAUCCGAGCGUUAUCCGGAUUUAUUGGGUUUAAAGGGAGCGUAGGUGGAUUGUUAAGUCAGUUGUGAAAGUUUGCGGCUCAACCGUAAAAUUGCAGUUGAAACUGGCAGUCUUGAGUACAGUAGAGGUGGGCGGAAUUCGUGGUGUAGCGGUGAAAUGCUUAGAUAUCACGAAGAACUCCGAUUGCGAAGGCAGUUCACUGGACUGCAACUGACACUGAGGCUCGAAAGUGUGGGUAUCAAACAGGAUUAGAUACCCGUGUAGUC